GCGUCAUUUCAACCUCAAGCACAGCUUGGUAUUGGUGGCUCGCCCCGCUUGGGGCGUCCCCAAAAAACAGCGGCGUCGUCGCCGGGCUCUAGGCGUAGUAAUAAUCUUUCGUCUUGAGGGUCCCGGGGGUCGAUAGCCGGACAAUCACCACAAUUCUUAUGGUUGACCUCGGAUCAGGUAGGGAUACCCGCUGAACUUAA
rnacentral:misc_RNA from 1 species